UUUUACAACUCCUCAGGUAAUGUUGGCAGGGUCCCUUAAAGGGUAACCUUUAAGCGCAAAUCGGGUGAAUUGCUGGAACUUCCUAAAGAGCUGUCCUCCCUACAACGUAAUCCGAAAGGGUAGACGUGACAGGCUGAAAAGCAGGGCAGAUUGGAUAAUCAGCAGCCGAGCUCCUGUUCCGAAAGGAUGGAGAAGGUUCAACGACUAGGACGUACCACCUAAACCCGGCCCCACCGGGUACGGUGAUGAGGUCCGUAGGGGUAAGAGGUUCCCCGAAGCACCCGACAGCCAUCAAACAAGAUGGUUGAAGAUAUAGUCUGGCGGUUAUCGAAAGAUAACC
rnacentral:ncRNA from 1 species